GCCGGGGUGGCGGAAUGGUAGACGCGGCGGACUCAAAAUCCGUUGGGCGCAAGCCCGUGGGGGUUCGAGUCCCCCUCCCGGUA
rnacentral:tRNA from 1 species